rnacentral:tRNA from 1 species
GGGGUUGUGGCUCAGCGGUGGAGCGCUCUCCUAGCACGUGUGAGGCUCUGGGUUCGAUCCUCAGCACCA